rnacentral:lncRNA from 1 species
CUGCCACCUUCACAACAGCAGGUGAGAGAUCACACACAUUUAGAGAGGAGAGACAAACCCUAGCACCUUCACAACAGCACUCAGAACAGAGCUGGAAUACACAAACUACAGUUUACUUUUGUCACACACACACACACACACACACACACACACUGCACUGAUCAAUAAAUCAAUAAGAUAGAAGUUGGCCACUGCAUCCAUUAGAAAAUGUUGUGAAAGUGGACAAAGGGUGAAAGAAAUGAUGGAGAAAGAGAGAGGGGGAGAAAACACAAAGAUCAGAGAGUGUGUUUAACAAGGGGACCCAGCCUGCGCUGAUAUUUGCUUAAACUUUGCCAAAAGAAAGCGUACAGAGUUCUGAGGUUUCGGGGGUGAGGGUGUGGGCGUGUGUGCGGUUUGGGAUGACAGGAUAAAUGGAUUACUGACCAUAACAAAUAAACCUACGUCAUCCCGUUUGGCUUGGCCGGGACGAGCCACUUUCCAGUACAAAACUCCUGAGACGGUAGGACAUGUGAGGUCUGCCAGUGACCUUACAAAUGGACGCAUACACAAGCCACGAAAAAACAAAAACAACAUGCUGGAUAUUCAAUAUUCUCUAAUAGGAUUUAGAGAAGGAGGUAAGUAAUAAUCUCCCGCUGUUGUUGUGGAUGGAUGAAAGCCUCCAACAAAAACUCUCCUUGCACAAGUUCUGGACUGAGGAUAUAUGACAAGAGGCAUACCAAAUAGGGUCUAAACAUCAUCCUAAUGCAUUUCCUCCAAUGUAAAUACAUGCAACAAGGGCGUAUGUACACAGGAUCUUCAUUGUCAUCUUUGAUUCAAAUGAUUCAUUUGAUUUGAACUGACAAAACUUCACCAUUCAGUCAUUGUUUCGCUUCGUUGCAGCUGCUAGUUAAAAAAGGCAAGCCUUUCAUAAUUUAUACAUAAUGAUGUUAAAGAGAGCGAGAGCGAGAGACAGAGAGAGAUUACGCUUGUGAUUUAGUUAAGCAGUGUUAGAACUAUGUAUUUAAGAUGUAAAUAUCUCACUCAUUCUUUUCUCCAGGUCUGGAGGCCAAACAUGACAUCAUCCUCCACUACCCAACAAUCAGAACCAACCUGUAAAAUGGGGAAAUGCGUCAUGCAAAUUGGGUUCACCACUAACUGUUUGGGUAGGUUUACACGGUUAACCUGAUGCUGUGCUAAAUGUUCUCUGAUUCAAUGCAGACAACGCACACAAAUAAACCACUCUAUCAGCGGAUGCAGUUAAAUUAGCGAAUUUCAUCCACAACAUGCUGUCAGAAGUGCAAUCACAGUUUAGUUUAUCCUUGUUAAUCUAAGAGCAAACCAAGAAAUCCACGGAUUGAGUAAACAUAAACCUCCACCAUGUAAGGUACCAUAUGUGUGAAUUUGACACUUCCCACUGCAGUUGACAUCCAGUAUAGUGCCACACUAGAUGCAGAAUGGUUCCUGUCAGGUUAUAGUAACACUGCCUUUAAGGUCAAUUAUGGGAAAUGUUUAGGAAGUCCUCUGAAUGCUAACAUAUGCAGUGUAAUGGCUACAGUAUGAGGGCCUCACAGACUUUCACUGUACACAUGAUAUACUCAAGCGAUCACUGUUUAGAGCAACCCAUUUCCUCUCAAACACACAUCUAUCUGGCUCCCAAGAUGUAUUUGUGUGUACGGAACUGAGCUCUUCUAGUGUUGUGUGAUGAUUUGUUCUUGUGUCAUUGUUUCCAAAUGUUAAUUCUCUGCAGAACACCACGUACCCCGCCGUGUAGGAGCGCUAGAAAUUUGUUCAGUUAUGGGUAGAUUCAGACUGGCAUGUUCCUGGAGCUCUCUUCUCCAGAGACGCAGUGAAACAGCCUGGUCCAACUUUGAUGAAAACCCCGCAAGCCAAGAACAAGGUCAGAUUUUAGAGCAAUUACUACACUAACAGAGACUUUGCAUGGAAAUGUGUGUUGCAUUACCAGAUGACCCCAAAUGUAAUGAAAUUCAUGACCAUUAGAAUCUGAAUUUAGUUUCAUUUCCACAUACCAUAUGAAAUUACUACUUAAAUUAGGAAAUUGCA